GUUGAACGCUGGCGGCAGGCCUAACACAUGCAAGUCGAGCGGAGCGGCGGACGGGUGAGUAAUGCCUAGGAAUCUGCCUGGGAGUGGGGGCUAACUUCCGGAAACGGGCGCUAAUACCGCAUGCUAUCCGAUGAGCCUAGGUCGGUUUAGCUAGUUGGUGUGGUAAAGGCCUACCAAGACGACGAUCCGUAACUGGUCUGAGAGGAUGAUCAGUCACACUGGAACUGAGACACGUGCCAGACUCCUACGGGAGGCAGCAGUGGGGAAUAUUGGACAAUGGGCGAAAGCCUGAUCCAGCCAUGCCGCGUGUGUGAAGAAGGUCUUCGGAUUGUAAAGCCCUUUAAGUUGGGAGGCGUUACCCACAGAAUACGCACCGGCUAACUUCGUGCCAGCAGCCGCGGUAAUUC
rnacentral:rRNA from 1 species